GAUGAAGAACGUAGCGAAAUGCGAUAAGUAAUGUGAAUUGCAGAAUUCAGUGAAUCAUCGAAUCUUUGAACGCACAUUGCGCCCGCCAGUAUUCUGGCGAGCAUGCCUGUUCGAGCGUCAUUUCAACCAUCAAGCCCCAGGCUUGUGUUGGAGCCCUGCGGCUACCGCAGCCUCCCAAAACCAGUGGCGGGCUCGCUAUCACACCGAGUGCAGUAGUUUACUCUUCGCUCAGGGCGUGUGGCGGGUGCUAGCCGUGAAACCCCCAACUUCUCAAGGUUGACCUCGGAUCAGGUAGGAAUACCCGCUGAACUUAAGCAUAUCAAUAAGCGGAGGA
rnacentral:misc_RNA from 1 species